rnacentral:rRNA from 1 species
GAUGAACGCUGGCGGCGUGCUUAACACAUGCAAGUCGAACGAAGCGCUUAAGAUUGAUUCUUCGGAUGAUUUCUUUUGCGACUUAGUGGCGGACGGGUGAGUAACGCGUGGGUAACCUGCCUCACACAGGGGGAUAACAGUUAGAAAUGACUGCUAAUACCGCAUAACCCGAUAGGAUCGCAUGAUCCAGACGGAAAAGAUUUAUCGGUGUGAGAUGGACCCGCGUCUGAUUAGCUAGUUGGUGAGGUAACGGCCCACCAAGGCGACGAUCAGUAGCCGGCCUGAGAGGGUGAACGGCCACAUUGGGACUGAGACACGGCCCAAACUCCUACGGGAGGCAGCAGUGGGGAAUAUUGCACAAUGGGGGAAACCCUGAUGCAGCGACGCCGCGUGAGUGAAGAAGUAUUUCGGUAUGUAAAGCUCUAUCAGCAGGGAAGAAAAUGACGGUACCUGACUAAGAAGCCCCGGCUAACUACGUGCCAGCCGCCGCAGUAA